GCCAAACAAGCCCUAAUAUACGAACUAGUGCCAUCUCCUAGCCCUAAUAUCAUUCGCGAAUUGCAAUUCGCAGACGACUCGGUCCUCUGUCCUCAUCUCCACAACUCCACCAGGACCACCGGUCCGCCACUGUCCUCCUCUGGCCUCUGCGUGCCGAGUUGCCGCCGAGAUCCGCCCUUGGUACGAGUGGAACCCUCGAUUUCAAAAGCCUUCAUUGAUUUCUAAGGCCUUCAGUUCAUCAUUAAGACCUAGCUAAAGUGCACACGCACUCCUUACCAUUUAUAAUCGAGGGAGGAGGGAGUGGGAGGCAAUAAAAACCCUAAAAGGCCUCUUCUACGCGAAGCACAGAGCGUCUCUUUUGCAACGUUGAGAGCCCUCAGGUAGAGAGUCUCUUACAUCUCCGGCGAAGGAGGAGGAAGGAAAUUAAAGAUGGAUGAUGUGGGAGUAUCAUUGCAUUUGGUUGCUAGUUUUGGUGGUGCUUUUCGAACUGUGUCUGUAACUCACUAGAGGCUCGGGAAACAAAGAGAAGAUGUGAUAUUGUGCUGCAAUUUAUGAAAUCAAAUUUGUUGUAGUAGGAGGAAAAAUUGGUUCUAAAAUUGCAAGAGUUAGUCCUCUGCAGAAAGCGUUUCGUUGCUUAGAUGAAGAAAGAGUAUAUUCACUGGUUGGUUGUGAUUUCACAGGAUUGAAAAUGGUCUUGAUGGCUUCAUAUUGGGAUCUGCAUGACAGGUUUUUGCAGUUUGAACCCAUUUGUUUCAAUACAAAUACCAAAAAGGGUUUCGUAUUGCCGUUGCCAGAAGCAGAAAAACCUUGUCCCCUAGUGAUGGCUGACCCUGAUUAUGGUUUUUUUGUGCUUGCUGGGGCUACUUUGUAUUCGUCCUAUGAAAUACGCUCUCCAUGUUUCGAACGUUUAGAUCCUUUGGAUGGAUGGCAUGAUUCGGAUUAUAAUGAUUGUUCCCUACCUGAGUAUCCUUUGGACAGAAAAUUACCCAGAAUUAUCUCUGUUUAUGCAGUCAUCCAGUACUGUAUUCUCAUUUUAGUCCAUGAUUUUCUUCAUGGUAACUCAGAAUUCUAUUAUUACAGAAUCGGGAGUGAAAUGAAGAACUGGCAGGUCAUCAAGAAGGAAAAGGAGAAUGGGUUAUAUUACCCGAUCUUUGGAAAGGCUGAAUAUGUUGAUGGUUAUUUAUAGACUUUCGGCCGUAAUUAUAACUUGAUUGCAUAUCAAGUCGUUGAGAAUGAUGGUAUCAUUCAAUCUAUUGGUGUUCCAGUGUAUUUUAGAGGACUGGACUUUAAAGAUCUACCAGUGGAUUGUGAUCCCACAUUCUCCGGUUGCUUUGUUCAUUUGGGAAACAAAAGAUUUUGUAUAAUGAAGACUGGUUUCAAUGUUGACCCCUCCUACUUUCAAUAUGUUUCCAUCUUGAUCAUCCAAGUUUCUGAUGACAUGCACCUUUCAACGAUGUGGUCAGCUCUCUGCGCCUUGAAUAUAGAGAACCUCGCCCCGGCAAAUUUAACAUCACUUUUUUUGGACUCCCAGUCGUGGAUCCUAUUUAGUACUCUCUUGUAGCCGGGUACAUAAGGGCGUAUAGUGUUUGGAGUUACGGAUGGCAAAGAGGCGGAUUCGGUACGGGUUUGAGUGAACCUUACCUCACCCUUUUAAGAAAUCCUUCAUACCAUAUCCGUUAAGAACCAAGGACAGGUUGUUGGUAAGAAUACCAUCCCCGCCCUGUUCUGUUAAAACGCCCAAAAUUUUCUAAACCAGAUGAUACAUUUAGCAAUCCACCAUCAAUGCAAUGACAAACAUCAAAUCGAUUUGCUAAUCACAAAACGCACAAGAUCUAUGCCUUUUAGUCACCAAAACUGGAAUAUUUCUUACUAAAAAAGCUUGGAGAAAAGUUCAAUAUGAAGAUUUACGUUUAUGGCAAUAUAAAGAAUUAUAUAUAUAUGUUGAAGCGAAAUUCUGCACAACAUGAAGAUUUACGUUUAUGGCAAUAUAAAGAAUUAUAUAUAUAUGUUGAAGCGAAAUUCUGCACAACCCGGAUUAGCACUGCUUCCUGCAAAAGAAAAGGGAUGGUGACUGAGGCCUGACACUGGCCGGGUGCCGGCCGGGUACCCUCAGACGACCAAGUCAGUUUUGUGAGUUUGUAUGUAAAAGAAAAUAAAUUCUAUAUUUAAUUUCUCGUACCUUUCAAGUGGAUCGAUCACCUUCUUAUAAGAGAAGGUAAACGUCGUGGCGCAUCAUAAUGCCGAGCUAUAACUUUUGGUGAUUCAAGAGAGAUCUUUUGGGAGGGGAUUACAUUAUCCCUAUCUAAUUUGAAUUUGAAUUGCGUGCUCAUUUAAACAGUUUGUUAUCUUUUGUUUGUUAUAUUUAUCCUUAUCAAUAUAUAUAUAUAUAAACAUAGAGAGAACUAGAAAAAAAAAAAAGAAAAAGAAAAAAAAAACAGAGAGAAAGAGAAGAAGGAAUUUGAAUGCAAACCUAAGCUGCGAAAAUUAUGAAUCAAUUACUUGUGUUAUUAGGAGCUUCAAUGGUGAUUUUAGAGAAAGAAAGGGGGAAACACCAAACACGUUCUCUCUAGGGCUCUAUCGCGUUCGGCGCAGCCGGUGGUCUAAGGAGAAAUCAACUAAAGACAAAAGACAAGACCUUGACAUACUGGAGUGCUAUAAUAGAAUUGGUAAAUAUGUAUUUAUAAAUCUAAACCCGCCUCGUUCGGGGUUUAAAAACAAAAUACCAUCUCCACCCCUACUCCUAAACGAGGCUUACCGAAAUCCGUCCUAUUAGGGGCGGGCAGGGCAGAAACCCCCCGGGCCGGAGGAAAUUGCCACUCCUAUUUGGUGUGGGUUAGAGUGAGACAUUGAAAGUCGUAGGAAAAAGAGUGAGCGAGAGAAUUUUGGGGUUGAAUCUUGUAAUUUUCUGAUUUUCCUAUAGUGAAAUCUUUCGAGGCGUAAUUUGUGCCGAACCACAUAAAUCCUUAUGUUUUUUGUGAGUGACGUGCUUACUUUUAUAUCGUGAUUCGUGUUUUGUUCUUGGUUCGUUCCGUUUGUCGUAACAAUUGCCGUUUAUCUGGUGUGUUCUCAUUUAUGCAUCAUACGUAUUGCUUCUGGAACACUAAUGAACAUGACAUUUUUAUUUGAGGCAUAUGGAUCUAUAUAAUUGAGUAAUACGUGUAUACAAUUUAUGCCUGUUCUACAUUUGUGAGCCAUUAAGUAAUAAAAUCUCUUAGAUACACUUCCCUUUUCCUACAUUUUGUUUCUUAGGGCCAGUUUGGAUUGGCUUUUUGAAAGCCGCUUUUGGCUUUUAGGACUCAAAAGCAAUUUCUUGCCCCGUUUGGAUUACAAUGUGGAAGAGCUUCAAGCCUGUGGAAGAGCGUUUGACUGAAGCUGGGGGAGGGUAGCUUUCCCAAAACGCUCUUCCUGAUGGACACGGGAAGCCGUCUUUUGUUUUAAUUAAAUUUUUAUAAUUCCCAUAAUACCCUAUGUUUUAUAUGUAAAAUAUUGUUUGUUCCCAACGUAUCCCAAAUAAAUAUUCCUACCAUUUGGCUACUCUUGUCUUCUAGGGUUUCUGCUCACAUUCAACUCUUUCCUUCUGACGACUGCAGCAAUACUAUAUGAUAUAGACCACUCGGCAGCCUGCAACAGGAACAAAAAACCAUCUUAUAUUCAAGGCCUGUGAUUUUUUUUCCUUGAGUUGUGUUUGUUCUUCAAUUUUGGGUAUGAACAACUAAAGAAAUACAAUAGUAUCGGUUUGUGAUAUUUUCCCAAUGAUUUGUACCAGAAACAAAUAUGGCGGUUUAAUGGUCUAAAAUUUCUGUUAUUCUUUGUUGAUGCAAUGACUUCCGAAGUCAAAGCUAUUAGUGUGGAGAGAAAAGGGGAAUUGCCGCUCAUUAAUUUCCAUUGUCUUUGGAGCAAAGGCUAGCAGUUUUUUUUUAUCCGUCAAGUAUAGUAUAUCGGAUUAUUCUCUUUGGAGACGGUUUUUCCUAACAAAUUGAUGUAAUUUAAGCCCAGUUUCCUUACUUGUUGAUGCUGAAAUCACAAAUUAUUCAUCUUUCAUGAGAAGUUUCAAUUUUUUUGUUAUUUUUUUUUGUCCAUUUUUCAUUCCACCAAGUUUUUACAUGAUACUUAUUCUAGAUGGAGCAUUCAUUGGGUUUCAAUUUCUUCUUCUUCAUUUUUUCCCCUCAUUAUAUUUAAUUUUACCUACUUUUAGAUGCUGUGCUUGUUAUUUGUUGGGUUUUGGAAUGACAGAUUUUCUUUAUGAUGAAGUAUUUGUUUAGUGAAAUACCAAUAAUAUGAUGGGGUGGGUUUUUUUUUUUCCUUCACUUUUUAGUACUAUUCCUUCCAUUGUUCAUUCUAUUGUUCUAAAUUAUGUGAAGUUCCAUGAAUUAAGAUGGUGAGGUUGCAUGUUCCGUUGACUUUCUAAUAUGGAAUUGUGAACUAGGGAAAUUUAGUAUGGAUGGAUUACAAUUUUUGGGUCUGGAAAAGUGAAAGCAAACCUUCCAUGUGCUGAUGACACACUAUAAUUUUUGGAAUAUAAAGAAGAUUACCUUGUUAAUAGAGUUUACCAAUUUGGAAGAUUGUGAUUCAACGAUGACAUAUUUUGCUACUUCAAUAGCUUUGUAAAUUGUAUAUAUUGUUAGUUAGUGGUACAUGAAAAGUUUUAGAGUAUAUUUACUUUCUAUAAAAUUUCACAGUACGUUAAAGACCAAAAAAAAAAAAAAAAUAUUAUCAACUGAUUUUUGAGGCCUUUAUUUACUUAUAUGAAAUGUAGGUGAAGAAAUGCUUCCCCUUGCGCGCACAUUUAAAUUUCAUGAAUUGAUAUAAUGAUAAAACAAAAUAAAAAUAUAAUAGCCA